rnacentral:rRNA from 1 species
UAAGCAUAUCAAUAAGCGGAGGAAAAGAAACUAACAAGGAUUCCCCUAGUAACUGCGAGUGAAGCGGGAAAAGCUCAAAUUUAAAAUCUGGUGGUCUUUGGCCAUCCGAGUUGUAAUUUAGAGAAGCGUUUUCUGCGCUGGGCCAUGCACAAGUCUCCUGGAAUGGAGCGUCAUAGAGGGUGAGAAUCCCGUCUUUGGCAUGGAUAUAACCAGGGCUUUUGUGAUGCGCUCUCAAAGAGUCGAGUUGUUUGGGAAUGCAGCUCAAAAUGGGUGGUGAACUCCAUCUAAAGCUAAAUAUUGGCGAGAGACCGAUAGCGAACAAGUACCGUGAGGGAAAGAUGAAAAGCACUUUGGAAAGAGAGUGAAACAGUACGUGAAAUUGUUGAAAGGGAAACGCUUAAAGUCAGUCGCGUUGUCCAAGACUCAGCCUUGCCUUGGCUUGGUGUAUUUCUUGGUCGACGGGUCAGCAUCGAUUUUGACCCUUGGAUAAUGGUGAGGGAAAUGUGACACCUUUUAGGUGUGUUAUAGUCUCUUGUCACAUGUGAGGGUUAGGAUCGAGGAACUCAGCAUGCACUUUUUGGGUGUCGGGACUUUUGUCCACGAUACAUGCUUAGGAUGUUGGCGUAAUGGCUUUAAACGACCCGUCUUGAAAACA